UACGUAGGCAGCGAGCGUUGUUCGGAGUUACUGGGCGUAAAGAGUGCGUAGGCGGUUUUCUAAGUUUGGUGUGAAAUCUCCCGGCUUAACUGGGAGGGUGCGCCGAAGACUGGAAGGCUAGAGUAUGGGAGAGGUAAGCGGAAUUCCUGGUGUAGCGGUGAAAUGCGUAGAUAUCAGGAGGAACACCUGCGGUGUAGACGGCUUUACUGGACCAUAACUGACGCUGAGGCACGAAGCGUGGGUAGCAAACAGG
rnacentral:rRNA from 1 species